CUGACAUUCAGUAGGAGUGUGGAUGCCCAUACUAUUUGCAUCAUUAAAUACUUUUAACUCUUCACUCCUGAGAAAGUACAACCCUUAAUAGUGUAUGGCAGGGAAAAUAUGACUAAGAAAAGUUAAGUGAGGGGAAGUGUUACAGCUUGCCCAGGAUCUGGAAAUAUUUUCACUAUUGGACAUGCCUAGUUAGGACAUAGCAUUUUGAAACUGUGCUUGGAGUCCAGAUAAUGGAAAGUGGUGUUUGGAGUAGAGAGAAGAGGAAACCGUUAAGCGGGGAAAAUGAGUAGAGCUAGACUAAGAUUUAAUUUAAAAAAUGCUAGAGAAGAGUGAGGGAAGCAGGGAUGUUCAGGGUAUCAAGAUAGUUCCAGGUGGGCAUCUCCAGCUGAGAUUUUACUCAUCUACUGGGCCAGAGGUACCCUCUGCAUGGAUUCCUGUUCCCAGUAUUCAAGCACGGUUAUAUUGAAGAAGAUAUUCCAAAACUACCCUCCUCUCUCCUCCCACCUUCAAGUCCUUUCCUGUUCUGCGAGCUGGAACCUAGAAGGGGUGGAUUCUCUACUGUCUGAGCCAUGAAGCUCAUGGAAAUGCCUGCUCUCCUGGCCCAGCUGCUGCAGGAGUCAAUGUACCAGGAGAAGCAGCUUCUCCUCCAGUGUUUUGGAGAGUGUUCCUGCUCAGUGAGCUGUGUCUGCAAGAUGCUUGUCUUCUUUUCUGAAGUCAGGAUAGAGGCAGAUUUAUGGGAGUUAAAAUGGCACCUGUGACUCAUAAACCAGGGUUCACAGCAUGGAAGGAUUAAAGUUCUUCUUUUCCAUGUUUAAGCUGAUGAUGUUUUGUUCUUGAGUCAGGAACCUCUGCUGCCCUGCAAAACCUCCUAUAAAAUCCUUGAUGGUUGUUAAGUCUCCCUGGAAGUUCUUUCUUCUGUCCUCAGUUCUGCAGCCGUGUCUUUACUCUGAGUAAUGGUUUAGUAGGAUCAUUCCCUUUCUUAUUCAGCAAUUUUAAUUUUGCCCCCCCUUUUUGUGAAAUUUCUGCAACAACUGCAGAUACAACCUGAACACUGGUCUCCUAUGUUAUAGAAAUGUAGAUGUCAAGUUCUGCUAUCAAAAGGAGCAAGCCUAUAGACAGAUCCUGGAUAGCUGGGUGCAGGGUUAUUACUGAAAAUAUGAGCUCACUACUGACUCUAAUGGAUUCUUAGCCUUGCUUUGUUCCUGGGUUUUCGUCAUGAUCUUAAUAACCAUCAUGUGAUGAUAUUACUUUAGAGGAGGAAAAGAGGACUUUUCAAAAUUGUGAGCAAAGUCAGUGUCAGAAUCUCUUGUUAUUGACCCUGUCAUCUUUCUACAAUCAGAAACAGCUCCAGUAUCUUACUCUUUAAUAGUUUCAUUCUGUUUAAGCACAACCUUGAGAAUCUCUCUUUGCCUCCAAGCCGGAAGCUAUGGAGGAUUGCUUAGGUUUCCAGUGUUGCUCAGGUAUGGUAGGAAGGCUGGUAUCAUGGUGAUAUUGGCAGAAGGGGCAAAUUGAACUCAUUUAAUAUGUAAGAUGGUUUGCACCUUGGAUUGAGGAUGGUAUGUUUUAAAAUGGAUAAAUGUAUGGGUGAACCUAUGGUUGAUUUGUGUUGGUGUUUGGUAGAAACCAACAUAGUACUGUAAAGCAAUUAUCCUUCAAUUAAAAAUAAAUAAAUUAAAAAAACUUGGAAAUGGAGCUGAAAACACUCACAAAUACAGUUGUCAAAUAUUGAAGUAGAAAAUUCUAACAUGC
rnacentral:lncRNA from 1 species